UGCCACUUUACACCCUCCGUCACGGUAGGACAAAUGGACGUCCGACAUGACAUGCCACGUGGACAAAAAUGACAUGUGGCAUUUUUGACACGUGGCGUGCCAUGUGUCCUUUUGUACAUGUGGCAUGCCAACGUGGCAUUUUUUGGUACACGUGGCAUACCACGUCGGAUACCCGUUUGUCCUAUCAUGACGGAGGGUGCAAAGUGACA
rnacentral:pre_miRNA from 1 species